AUGGGCAUCCUGGAUCACUCGGAGGAGGAGGAGGAGGAGGGGAGCCACUGCGGCGGAGGCGCGAGGUUUGGGGCGCGGCGGCAGAAGCCGAGGUCCAAGAGCCACCACCAGCUGCUGCUCAUGGACAGCGUCGGCGGGGGCAAGGCCGGCGCGGACGGGGAGUGCGCGUCGGAGGAGGAGGAGAUCGUGCCGCUGCCGGAGUACGAGCGGCUGUCCCAAUCCGCGCGCCUCCCGGACGACGACCGGGCUGGCGCCGAGGACCCGCCUCCCCCGGCCGAGCGGGGCGCGUCCCUGACGCCCCCGCCGCGGCAGCAGCAGAAGCCGGCGGCGUGGAGGCUGCUCCAGUACGUGCGGUCCAUGCACAGGUCGUCGGCGGGGGUCGUGGUCGCCGGCGCGUACUGCGGCGGCUCGUCGGACGGCGACUCCAAGAGCUCCGACGGCGAGAAGGAGGGGGUCGACGGCGAUGGAGAUGAGGAGGGGAGGAAGGAGAAGGAGCAGCGGAAGAAGAAGCGCUCCUCGUGGCUGCCGGACCCCGACCGCCGGUGGCCGGUGCAGGGGUUCUACUAG
rnacentral:rRNA from 1 species